GUGGGGAAUUUUGGACAAUGGGCGCAAGCCUGAUCCAGCAAUGUCGCGUGCAGGAAGAAGGCCUUCGGGUUGUAAACUGCUUUUGUACGGAACGAAAAGGCUCUUGCUAAUACCUGGAGCUCAUGACGGUACCGUAAGAAUAAGCACCGGCUAACUACGUGCCAGCAGCCGCGGUAAUACGUAGGGUGCGAGCGUUAAUCGGAAUUACUGGGUGUAAAGCGUGCGCAGGCGGUGCUGUAAGACAGGCGUGAAAUCCCCGGGCUCAACCUGUGAAUUGCGCUUGUGACUGCAGCGCUGGAGUGCGGCAGAGGGGGAUGGAAUUCCGCGUGUAGCAGUGAAAUGCGUAGAUAUGCGGAGGAACACCAGUGGCGAAGGCGGCUCACUGGCUCGAUACUGACGCUGAGGUGCGAAAGCGUGGGGAGCAAACAGGAUUAGAUACCCGAGUAGUCC
rnacentral:rRNA from 1 species